GAAAUUGAGCCAUUUGGAGCAACAUUCCAGAAUAUCAAAUUCCUGGGACUAACACCACACUACUCUUUUUAAGUUGAAAAAAUUGCCAGCAGAAAGAGCUCUUAGAAAUGUAUCAUCCAUGAAGAGACUCCUUUGUGACUGUCAACAGCAUCCUCCAGCCAACCAGCAUUCCUUACUGGCUCACUGCCAUGAACCAAGACAGAUCAGCAGCUUCCUGAAAACAAGUCAACAAAACUGUUACAUUGGAGCCCUUUCAUCCCGAAAUGAUUCCCAGAGUGCACCUUUACUCACCAACCCUGAUUAGAAGGAAAACUGCCACAGAAUGCUGAGUCUAAAGAGUGAACUGAAGGAGACAAGUGCAUGAUGGGUAUAUAGAGGGACAACCUGCACACUACCAAGGAGACAGGCAACAAUGCUGAGUGACUGACAAUGUGUCAUGUAGAAUGAUGCCUGAGGUGAUGAGUUCUCCUCCAACUGAACAAGAAGAUUCUACCGACGUUGUCGUCUUUGCACAUUCCUGACUCAAUGAGAUGAAUGGGAAAGGCCAAGAGACACCAAGUUUGCAUGGUGAUCACAUAGAAUUACCUCUCCAGGACAGUUACUGUAAGGUAGAAUUAUGUAACGACUCAAAACAAGCAAGUGUUUCUGUGAAAUUGAGUAAGAGCACUUGUGUGUUCUGCUUAACUUCCCUCUCUGAUGUUCUUUCAGUAUGUGGUCUUAGGUUCUUUUGCUGUGCUACCUCAUAACUUCCCUGACAAAGCAAAGGAAACUCUACAUGUGAAUUAUUUGUAAAUGUGUCUGGCAAAUAGAUACCAAAUCUAGGAUUAUGCUUUCUAUUUCUUUAUAGUAGAGAUGGAUUUUCACCAAUUUAUGAAGCAUACACACUUGAUCUGUUUGCGCUAUCCUAACCAGCUAGGUCUUCUACCCUGCUUGAGGCCUCCUUUCUCACUGUGGCAGUCAAUUCCAGACUCUAAUAACGGGGUUUUCGUGAGUGAGUGGCCCGGACAGCAGCCUUGGACCUGAUGCCCCUCCCCACCUUCAUGCCAUGACUAUGACCAAUGACAAAGAAUCACCAUCCCUGGAGACAGAUUUUCAACUUUCAUUUGUCUGGGAAUUCUACUAUAAAUUUUGAAUAAGUGUCAAUCAGCUUCAACAAUAACCAAUAGGUCAAUGACUAAUAAAAACACUACUGGAAGUUUUGGUUUAAUAGUGCUAGUGAUCAAAUUUAAGUCUUCAUGAAUGCUAAGCAAUCUUUUUUAAAGGGAGCAGUCUUUCCAGUCCCAGAAUGUUUGGGCUUUAUUUACAUGUGGAAUUCCCUUUCCUCACUAAGCCCCAGGUAGGAGAGCCUAGCAUGACAGACAGAUUCUGAAUUAGCCUUAGGUCUUUGUCUUUCCAUGCUCACAUCCUUCCUGUACACACUCUGUUGAGGUGCUUCCCUGGCUCCCAGCUUGAUGCCAAGAAAGGCCUUAUUGGUGUUGUUGUGGCCUCUGAGGACUGAUUGGUGUGCUGGCAUCCCACAAAUAAGCACAUCACAUUGCCUUUGCAUCCUUUAAAAUGAUGAGUGUGUGGCUCAUGUCUUUGAUAAGUAUGUAGAACACACAUGAAAAAAUACUCAAUCUUAUU